UACGGGGGGGGCAAGCGUUGUUCGGAAUUACUGGGCGUAAAGGGCUCGUAGGUGGCCAACUAAGUCAGACGUGAAAUCCCCGGGCUCAACCCGGGAACUGCGUCCGAUACUGGCGGGCUUGAAUCCGGGAGAGGGAUGCGGAAUUCCAGGUGUAGCGGUGAAAUGCGUAGAUAUCUGGAGGAACACCGGUGGCGAAGGCGGCAUCCUGGACCGGCAUUGACGCUGAGGCGCGAAAGCCAGGGGAGCAAACGGG
rnacentral:rRNA from 1 species